rnacentral:misc_RNA from 1 species
CUGGAUUUUACAAGAAACCACGAUGCCGGUGCAUUACCAUAAUGCACCUCUGGCUGGCCGGUGGCGUCUCUGGCACCGCAAUUUACGGCGCAGAAGUAGCGGCACACGCAAUAUCACGUUGAAUGACAAGUUGCGCGGUACAAAAGUGCCCAUCUUACACUAGCUGACAUGUUGCAUAAGUAACAGACACGGGAGCUAGAAUUCCUAGUUAUCUACGCGUCGACGAGUUGGUUAUCUUUUGUUACGUAAAAUCUCCGACAAACAGGUCUCACGAGAUACCGACGUCUGACCGGAUUCUCAUCUCUAACCUCUCACGUACGAUUUCCAUGGCGACAAUGCUACGAGAAGGAUCAUUUCUUCGCGUCGAAACGUGGCCAUAAUUGCCAGCUCACAACUUGAACCAGUCCUCCGUUCGGGGAAACGUUCUUUUAUUUAUUAGCCCCGACCCUGGAGUUUGCCUCUAAUGGUCAUUAGGAUGAUAAUCGAGUCGCAUAAUUUCACCGGGUAAUUUAAUUAAAUCACAUGAUUUUUCGCGUCGUCGAAUCGUUAUCUGCGGAUCCCUAUUACUACAGACAAGAAAAGAAUCUCUAUUCGGAGAAAAGAGAAAUUUUUGUCUCCUUUUCUAUCUUUUUUUUAGUCUUUUGUUUCUAAUUGAAUGAACCGCGCGAC